rnacentral:rRNA from 1 species
UGCCAGCCGCCGCGGUAAUACGGAGGGUGCAAGCGUUGUUCGGAAUUAUUGGGCGUAAAGCGCGUGUAGGCGGUUCGUUAAGUCUGAUGUGAAAGCCCGGGGCUCAACCCCGGAAGUGCAUUGGAAACUGGCGAACUUGAGUACGGGAGAGGAAAGUGGAAUUCCGAGUGUAGAGGUGAAAUUCGUAGAUAUUCGGAAGAACACCAGUGGCGAAGGCGACUUUCUGGCGCAUAUCUGACGCUGAGGUGCGAAAGCGUGGGGAGCAAACAGGAUUAGAUA